UUGACAUGGGCUAUGUGUAUUUCUUGUUCAAACCGAUGUUAAUUGUGCUAUUUGAUGUGAUUGUUUUUAAUUGUGAAGAUGGAUCAACUGAUCUUGCUCUGAUGCAGAUCGAUGUAGUUGAAGUUUCAAGCAAGUCAAGGCUUUGUGGAGAAAGAUUAAAGCUUUUUGGAGAUAGAUCAAAGUUUAUAAGAACAACAAAAAGAUCAAAGCUUCCGAGAAGAAGAAAAAUAUCGGAUCUUUUAAGAGAAGAAGAAAAAGAUCAAGCUCCCCAGAAAAGGGAAACAAAGUCAGAGCUUCCAGGAAAAGGAAAACGAUCAAGUUGUGUUCGUAUUAAAUCAUGCUGAAUUGUAUUUAAGAACUAGAAACAUGUGAGGAGAGUUCACUGAAAGAAUUCCAGGAUUUCUGAGAGGAGAUUUGCGCCCAAUCUGCUAGUAAGCACUCUUCCUUUUCAAAAACCAAGUGAUGGUUGGGACUGCACAGGCUGACAAAACGAGGCAAAGUGGUUCCAAUCCAAACAUGCAAUCUAUGCUCAAUCAUAAUCUGUUGAUCUUCCCAUUUUAUACCAUGCCAAACUGUAUGGAGACGAUGACAAAAGCUAAAAGCUAACGACUGUUUGCCAGUUUGCCAGCAAGUACUCCUGCUCUUUCACAAACUAAGGUUAGUCUUGUGUUGACCGUGAUGUUCAUAGUAUUUAGUUAUUAUCUUUUAGGUUUUUGAUUUGAAACUGAUCUGGGUAUGGCUGUCAAGUAGGUGAAAUUGUUCAUGUAAACUGUUUAUUGUUAUCUGUGAUGCGUUACUGCAAUUUGAAACUGAUCUGGGUAUGGCAUGUCAUGGUGGACAUCAUGUAUCCUUUGUAGUGCAUCUUGAUCUCGUGUGUAUAGUGUAUACUUAAUUAUUAAAGAACAUCAAAUCUUUGAAGAAGUAAAGUUUAAAGCUUUCUUAGGAAUGUGCUAAACUGUACUGAAGAACCGGAAAAAAUGACAUAAGUGUCAUCAUUAUAUAUAUUCAUCUUACAAACUCGAAAAUGGUAGAUAUAAGAGAUAACAAACCUGAACCCAUUUGUCUCGCUAAUUGAGGUUAUGUCCUAUUAUCAAACACUAAACGCUUAUGAAUUCUGUUAAGUAUAAAAGAGUACUGAACAUCAACACUAAACUCUUAUGAAUUCUGUAAAGUAUGAAAGAGUAAUGAACCUGGUAGGCUGUUACAGUAAAUGAUCCUGUACAAGCGCUUUAGCAGAAUCACAUAUAUCUCUACAAAUGAUAGGCAUACAUAACAUAAAGUUGCUCAGCAUGAAUUAGAUUUUUUUUCAUGGACCAUUCAUUAUGAAGAAACAUAAUUCAAUAGUAGAAAAUCUAUUACUCAUGGAUUCAUCAGGUACUUCCAAGUCAGGUAUGAUUGUUAUGACCUGGAGUAUCCAGUCUGAUAGAUCUGACUUGGAGUAUACAAUCUAAUCUCAUAUAAAUCUAGGCUGUAACCCUGACGGUUAAUUUGUGUUGAGCAAAAUACACACUCUUGCCAAUAUGUCAGAUGUCGUUACAAGAGAGUAUGAACAAUUUCAAGAUAUUUGUUAGACAACCCUCUGAAUAGUUAUGUGCUAGACAACUGUAUAGUGGAAAAUAGAAAAUGAAAUUUACACAAAAGUCACACAACUGUACUGCAACCCCCUGAAUCCUGGACUACUUGUGCUCCAUUCCCAACCUUCAAAUCAUAAUACCUGAAUAAUAUGAUGCAACAAAUUAAUAUAUCUCCCGCUAGACAAAGAAAAAAAGUGCAUGCAUAGCAUGUAAAAAAAUGCAUGCAUAAGCUAUUGUAGAGGCACAAGCAGUAUAUGUAAUGCUGAAAUCACAUCUCAAGUGCUGUAAUGCAAUGCAAAACCAGCACUGAAUUUUUAUGUUUAACAAAAACUCUGUAACCAAGCUUAAUCAGUAAAAUAGUAAAAGUGCUCAGUAAGUUAGUUGCAGUAACUUUUUAUUGAAACGGUGUCGUGAGGAGGAAAAGACAUGAAUAUCAGCAUGGGAUCCUGUGUAUAACGGACUGAAAGGACAGCGUAUAAGAUGGCGACACGUGGCGUGUUGGUGGGUUAAAUAGGAGACCAGGCAGCAGAGUAGAGUAUGCGCGAAGAGAAUCAUUUUACUGGCUGUUUGUUAUUUUCUGUAUUGUCUUUCCUUCCGUUGUUUCCUAUAUCUCUGUAGCUAAACCUUUCAUUUUAAUGGAGUUUUAAGCUGUUUUCCUCUUUAUUUUCAUUGUUAUUACUGGCUGUUGGUUACAAGUGGUAUCAGGCCAGACGUUCCUUGGCUUGCAUUCACGCAUCUAAAUGGCCGAAGGGACAAGAAUCAGAGAUCUGGAUGCAAGGCUGGGUACUCAUGAGACUAAGCUGAAGGAGAUGAAUGAAGGCUUAACCCAGACUCGCACAGAGGUCACUCAACAACUCACAGAUAUGAAUACUCAAAUGGAUAAGCGUAUGGGUGGCAUUGAAUCUCGAAUGGAUCGUUUGGAUUCAAACUUCUUAGAGCUCAAACAACUUAUUCUGGGGUUACAAGUUCCACCUAACACCCCCACCGUCUCAACAGUAAGUGAGCCCAUACCUAUGCAAGGCUCUACGACGCAUCAAGAGGUAAAUCACCCUUCCUCUUCUUCGUUGUUCUUCCACGCUACUACACCUAAUACGGUAGCACACACUCAGUUUACUAUUCCACCAUUCAUGGGCCCCUUUCCCCGCUCACAAACACCAUUUACCAUCACCCAAACACCACCACACUUUGUCAACUCAACUCUCUCUACCACUAACCCAAUAUCAUAUACUACAGACUCUACAAGAAGCAAUUUACAACAGGUCUAGAUAAUUGUUUACCUUCGAGCCUAAUUCUUCAUUAUCGACUUGAUCAAUGCAUUAUCUUGAAAAAGAAAAAGAAAUUAGUGUCAGAUUUUUAUUUUGCUCGAAAUUGGAAUUUACAUAUUGAAAUUGAUAUUUAGAGUGCACCUUUUGCUUUCAUUUCCUUUUUCUGCUGUUUCUUUGCAGCUUUAUUCUUGUGCACUUCAAGCUGCUCCUCUUUCUUCUCGCUAUUUGUAGCAACAUGAGGAUCAUUGUCCUGUAUUGAAAAAACAUAAUUAACAUAAUUAAGAUCGGUAAAAAACGGAGGCCGUCUUAUAUAGUGCUGUGUUUAGUCCUCAUCAUAUUUAAUGGAGAAUGGACAAGAAAUCGGAAUUCAAGAAAGUCAACAAAGAGUUAAAAGUGGUGAUUCAAGAAAUGGUGUUAUCACUAUGCUUCAAGAUUCAGCAAGAAUUGGGGGUUCAACAACAAAGAGUUUGCAAAGACUUCAAUUACAACAGUGGUCAUUCAAGAAAUGGUGUUAUCACUAUGAUUCGAGAGAAUCUUGACCACUAUGAUGUUGGACCAGUGUAUUAGUAGUCUAACUAUUUAGUGCACUAACUGAUUUUAAUUGGACAACUCGUUGAAUGAUAGGUAGGGGUCUUCUAGCCCUAGGAGCACUCAUGAUUCUCAAAAAUUCACAGUUGUCUGCGAGAA